CCUACGGGAGGCAGCAGUGGGGGAUAUUGCACAAUGGAGGAAACCCUGAUGCAGCGACGCCGCGUGAGGGAAGACGGUCUUCGGAUUGUAAACCUCUGUCUUUGGGGAAGAAAAUGACGGUACCCAAAGCUGAAGCUCCGGCUAACUACGUUCCAGCAGCCGCGGUAAUACGCGGGGAGCGAGCGUUGUCCGGAAUUACUGGGGGUAGGGGGAGCGUAGGCGGGCGAGAAGUUUGAGUGUUAAAUCUACCGGCUUAACUGGUAGCUGCGUUCAAAACUUCUUGUAUUGAGUGCAGUAGAGGCAGGCGGAAUUCCUGGUGUAGCGGUGAAAUGCGUAGAUAUUAGGAGGAACACCAGUGGCGAAGGCAGCCUACUGGGCUUUAACUGACGCUGAGGCUCGAAAGCGUGGGGAGCAAACAGGAUUAGAUAUCCGAGUAGUC
rnacentral:rRNA from 1 species